rnacentral:rRNA from 1 species
UCCUACGGGACGCAGCAGUGGGGAAUAUUGCACAAUGGGGAGAACCCUGAUGCAGCAAUGCCGCGUGGGUGAAGAAGCACUCCGGUGCGUAAAGCCCUGUCAGCAGGGAAGAAAAUGACAGUACCUGGACAAGAAGCCCCGGCUAACUACGUGCCAGCAGCCGCGGUAAUACGUAGGGGGCAAGCGUUAUCCGGAAUUACUGGGUGUAAAGGGAGAGUAGGCGGCAAGGUAAGCGAUAUGUGAAAGCCUUAAGCUUAACUUAAGGAUUGCAUAACG